rnacentral:snRNA from 2 species
GUGCUCGCUUUGGCAGCACAUAUACUAAAAUUGGAAUAAUACAGAGAAGAUUAACAUGGCCCCUGUGCAAGUGACGCAUUCCAUAUUUUU